rnacentral:tRNA from 1 species
GGAGGGUACCCGAAUUGGCUAGGAGACUGAUUCGAAAUCAGUUGCUCAGCAAUGAGUUGCGGGUUCGAGUCCCGUGCCCUCCG